rnacentral:piRNA from 1 species
UGAAACCAAACACGGGCUUCUGAAUUCCAUU